UUAGCUUAUAUUUGUAUGGAAUGGGAUCGUUUGCCUGCGUUUGCCGUUAGGGGCACUGUUCCAACUGCAUACAAAAUUGGGUUA
rnacentral:pre_miRNA from 1 species